rnacentral:misc_RNA from 1 species
UACGAAGGGAACUAGCGUUGUUCGGAAUUACUGGGCGUAAAGCGCACGUAGGCGGAUAUGUUAGUCAGGGGUGAAAUCCCGGGGCUCAACCCCGGAACUGCCUUUGAUACUGCAAAUCUAGAGUCCGAUAGAGGUGAGUGGAAUUCCUAGUGUAGAGGUGAAAUUCGUAGAUAUUCGGAGGAACACCAGUGGCGAAGGCGGCUCACUGGCCAGAUACUGACGCUGAGGUGCGAAAGUGUGGGGAGCAAGCAGG